rnacentral:lncRNA from 1 species
AGGAAGAGAUGGUUUUGGCAGUGGUGGAGAUGAAGCUUUCGUUGGAGUCGGAGGAGGAGAUAGUGUAGGUGGCGGUGGAGAUGGAACUUUGGUUGGAGUCGGAGGAGGAAGAGAUGGUGUAGGUGGCGGCGGAGAUGGAGCUUUCGUUGGAGUCGGAGGAGGAUGAGGAGAUGGUUUAGGUAACGGUGGAGAUGGAGCUUUCGUUGGAGUUGGAGGUGUAGGAGACGGUGUAGGUGGCAGCGGAGAUGGAACUUUCGUUGGAGUCGAAGGAGGAGGAGAUGGUGUAGGUGGCGGUGGGGAUGGAGCUUUAUUGGGAGUUGGAGGUGGAGGAGAUGGUGUAGGUGGCGGCGGAGACGUUUUGGGAGUGGGUGGCGAAGGAGACGGAGUAGUUGGUGUUGACGGUGACGGCGUUGUUGGAGUUGACGGAGAAAUGGAAAUGGAAAUGGCAGGAGCAGAUCCG